GAGACAUAAACAUUUUCUAAUAACUCAAGCUUUCAAUAACAAUCUGCUAUGUGUUGCCAGGGUCUUGGAGAAAACCAAAGACAAAGGAACCAUCUUCUUCCCUGAGGUCAACAAUGGAAGGAGACGUAGAAGACACAAAAACAAGAACUUGGCAGGCUCAGGACAUGACAACGGAGAAGAACACCAAUAUGGAUCAAGGAAGGAUUGAAAGACAGUAAAGGGCACACUAGGACUCUGUACAAAGAGGGAGAGAAGAUACAGCCUCUUCCUAUACACAGUUUGCAGGACCUCAUUCGCACUCCAAUGACAAUGAAAGGAAGGGGGUGUCGGGCAGAGAAGCAAAGAGCUCCGGUUCUCACCAUCACACGGUAGCGGUAGCGGGUGUAAGUUUGUUCCCAACAUACCAGACAGAGAGCAACUCUCACCAGAGAAGAUCCCAAUGUGUUUUAUGCUAGAUCUGACUUUAAUUAAGUGUAGACAAUGCUCCCAUCAGUGCUGGAACUGGCCCCGGUAACUUGCUUUAGCUGAUGGAAUGUUACCAAACACAACAUGAUCAAAGGCUUGAGAGAUGAUUUCCCUCCUGUGCUUCCGCAAUUACCAUGAAAAGAACAUGGCCUGGUGGUCCCUGAUCCCCAAAGAAUGACGGACACCUGGAAAAAGCUUGGAGUAACAGAUUCAUG